rnacentral:rRNA from 1 species
AUUGAACGCUGGCGGCAGGCCUAACACAUGCAAGUCGAACGCAUCCUUCGGGGUGAGUGGCGCACGGGUGAGUAACACGUGGGAAUGUAUCCUUUGGUUCGGAAUAACGUCUGGAAACGGACGCUAAUACCGGAUGAGCCCUUAGGGGGAAAGAUUUAUCGCCGAAGGAGCAGCCCGCGUCUGAUUAGGUAGUUGGUGGGGUAAAGGCCUACCAAGCCGACGAUCAGUAGCUGGUCUGAGAGGAUGAUCAGCCACACUGGGACUGAGACACGGCCCAGACUCCUACGGGAGGCAGCAGUGGGGAAUAUUGGACAAUGGGCGCAAGCCUGAUCCAGCCAUGCCACGUGAGUGAUGAAGGCCUUCGGGUUGUAAAGCUCUUUCGCACACGACGAUGAUGACGGUAGUGUGAGAAGAAGCCCCGGCUAACUUCGUGCCAGCCGCCGCAGUAAGAC